GGGCGGUUAGCUCAGCUGGUAGAGCACAUCGUUUACACCGAUGGGGUCGGCGGUUCGAACCCGUCACCGCCCACCA
rnacentral:tRNA from 2 species